CCUCGGGCGAAGAAAGCUCCAAGUCUCCUGACAGCCAGAUGAGGAAGGAGAGAAACGGCGCAGGCUGCUGGGGCGCCAGCAAGAGCGUCCGUGUCCUUGGCAGCUCAGAAUAGCAUCCGCGGCUCUGGUGACUCAUCGCGCGCGGGCCUGCACACCCGUGCUCCGCGGCGGAGGACUGUUUCCCCCUCGCCUGUCGCCUACUGCAGAGUCUCACUUUUCUCAACGCGGAGUCCCCGUGUUGUCAUUGUCGACCCCCUAGUGUGCGUCCCAGCCCAGAGGUCACCGCAUGCUCAUGCCCCAGGACCUGCAGCGGAACCACUGGUUUAAAGGUCAUCCUGACGCCGUAUGACGCAGAAAGAUGGGUCACGCGCCACGGGCCGCCCUGAGAUGCUCCCGUCGGCUCCUCCUCUCGUCCACUCACAGCCCUUGCUGCCGGGCCCACUUUACUCGGGUAACAAGGCAUUUUUCGCCUCUCGCCGCUUUCCCAACACUGAUUUUCUUGGAUCCACUCGAGCUAAAUCAGACGCGUCCCGGUUCCUCUCACCGUGGGAGCUCCUUGCUUCCAGCUCCGCGUGUGUCUGUCGACAGCGUCCCUCCAGGACACGUUACAGGAUUGCAGCCACAGUCAGGUUCGGUGACUUGUCUGGAGCGACGUGGCACCGUCCAGAGAAACAAACGCUCGCCCACGUGACCCAGGAAGCAGGCAUCAGAGGAUCCUGGAGCGCUAUCUAAGAGGUAAAAGCAAGAUAAUCCCACAGGUGUGCAGGAAGCCAAAGGGCAGCACAAAGGACAAAGCAAGAAGCCCGGUUUUAUCCGGUGCUGCUGACAUGCACGCUCCCCCCCCCACGUGCUGACCAGGCUGCAGGGCCCAGAACAGCAACACUGGUGUUAACAUCGCAACCACAGCCACGCCUAGUGCAACAGUGUAUUUUUUGUGUGUUCACAUCAGUGCCUCUAUACAGAGAAGUUCUGGAAGCAAUACAUACAAUCAGCUGAUAGCAAUAACCAAGAGGGGCCAUUCCUAUAUCUGUGCUACCUUUUA